CGUGCCAGCAGCCGCGGUAAUACGGAGGGGGUUAGCGUUGUUCGGAAUUACUGGGCGUAAAGCGCGCGUAGGCGGACAUUUAAGUCAGAGGUGAAAUCCCAGGGCUCAACCCUGGAACUGCCUUUGAUACUGGGUGUCUUGAGUUCGAGAGAGGUGAGUGGAAUUCCGAGUGUAGAGGUGAAAUUCGUAGAUAUUCGGAGGAACACCAGUGGCGAAGGCGGCUCACUGGCUCGAUACUGACGCUGAGGUGCGAAAGUGUGGGGAGCAAACAGGAUUAGAUACCCUGGUAGUCCACACCGUAAACGAUGAAUGCCAGUCGUCGGGCAGUAUACUGUUCGGUGACACACCUAACGGAUUAAGCAUUCCGCCUGGGGAGUACGGUCGCAAGAUUAAAACUCAAAGGAAUUGACGGGG
rnacentral:rRNA from 1 species